AUUGAACGCUGGCGGCAUGCCUUACACAUGCAAGUCGAACGGCAGCACGGGAGCAAUCCUGGUGGCGAGUGGCGAACGGGUGAGUAAUAUAUCGGAACGUGCCCAGUAGUGGGGGAUAACUGCUCGAAAGAGCAGCUAAUACCGCAUACGACCUGAGGGUGAAAGGGGGGGAUCGCAAGACCUCUCGCUAUUGGAGCGGCCGAUAUCAGAUUAGCUAGUUGGUGGGGUAAAGGCCUACCAAGGCAACGAACUGUAGUUGGUCUGGGAGGACGACCAGCCACACUGGGACUGAGACACGGCCCAGACUCCUACGGGAGGCAGCAGUGGGGAAUUUUGGACAAUGGGCGCAAGCCUGAUCCAGCAAUGCCGCGUGCAGGAAGAAGGCCUUCGGGUUGUAAACUGCUUUUGUCAGGGAAGGAAUCCUCUAGGUUAAUACCCUUGGGGGGAUGACGGUACCUGAAGAAUAAGCACCGGCUAACUACGUGCCAGCCGCCGCAGUAAAAC
rnacentral:rRNA from 1 species